rnacentral:rRNA from 1 species
AUUGAACGCUGGCGGCAGGCUUAACACAUGCAAGUCGAGCGAGCGGCGGACGGGUGAGUAAUGUCUGGGAAACUGCCUGAUGGAGGGGGAUAACUACUGGAAACGGUAGCUAAUACCGCAUACCAUCAGAUGUGCCCAGAUGGGAUUAGCUAGUAGGUGGGGUAAUGGCUCACCUAGGCGACGAUCCCUAGCUGGUCUGAGAGGAUGACCAGACAAACUGGAACUGAGACAUGGUCCAGACGCAGACGGGAGGGAGCAGUGGGGAAUAUUGCACAAGGGGCGCAAGCCUGAUGCAGCCAUGCCGGGUGUGGGAAGAAGGCCUUCGGGUUGGAAAGCACUUGCAGCGAGGAGGCGUUACUCGCAGAAGAAGCACCGGCUAACUCCGUGCCAGCAGCGGCGGUAAAC